UCUUAAUAUCUUCCCAAGAAGGAAUUUUAUAGAGGUGGCUCAAAUCUACCUUAAUACUGACAGACAUAGUGUUGAACAUUAUGUGCUGAAUGCUUUUAGACCAGGGAUGCCUCUCCAGUUUCUCCAUGUCCUUACCACUCCCCACUGCGUAUACAUGGUCACCAUAUACUGUCACUUGCGGACUCUUUGUAGGCAUUUGCAUUUGGUAGAAUCCUUAGAUCAAGUGUUUCAUAUCUAAAUACCGAAUUCAAUACAUAAAUGAAUAACUGGUGAAGAGGAAUCACUUUCUCCAAUGAUGCCUGUUUCUCUUGGUGUGUAGAGCCACAUUCGUUAACCACCAAAGCAAUAGGUAUUCCAGGACAGUCACUGAUUUCAUUUGUCACUUUAUUGUCAGAGUCAGAGGAGUGAAUUAAAGCGGGAGCUGUCAUUGUCAUUUUUUGAGAACAUUCCUUUUCCAAGUCCAGUUUAUUGUUUGCUGUUUCACUGGAUAGAAAAGCAUUUCUUAAGAUAAAAUGCGGUCUUUGUCUUUCCUCAUGAGCUCCCCUUUUCCUGAUACAUCAAAAUAUCUUUUCUACAAAUGGAGAUCUUCAAAAGAUGCAUCCAGGACCAGACCAUGUUCACUAUGCAAGGUUGUACCUCUGGGUCACCUGGGCCUCUUAGGUGGAAACUCUCAGAGCAGAGAAAACCCUAUACCAAAGAAGAAACGUGCUUUAAAUUGUCCUGCCAGAUUUAUUUGCUGUGGUAUUAGGUUUCUGUGUCUGCCCAGUCCUAGUCCGGCUCUUCUAAUGCAAUUCAGCCUUUUUACUGCAAGACUCAGACUCGAAUAUUAAAUCAACAUUUGCCAUUAAGACUCCACAUUUGUCUAUGGGAUGAUGAUUGGAUUCAUCUUUUGGAAAGGAAUCUAUAUAAAUACAUCUUCUCUAAUAAUUUCCAAAGAUAAUCCACCCCACUUCAUGAUUCUUAAAAAUGUAGACUCCAGGACUGAGAGUUGCUUUCCUCUGGGCUACCCUAACAUCUACUGUCAUUUCAUUACCUUCACCUUGUGAGUUUCUGAUGUUUGCUGUCAAAAAAAAAAAAAAAAAAAAGUUUUAGAGCAAUGCUGCAUGGUGUACCAUUUUUAUUAAAAGCAGAAUCUGAUCAACAACAUUCCAAUUAUGAAGGUAAAAGAGGAAAAGAUAAUCAGACUUUGAAUUAAAUCACAUCUGGACAGGCCUGGAGUUGAGGGCACUAAUAAUAUAUUACAUAUGUAUUUGUGCAGAGCAUGCCAGAAGUGAAUUCCACAUCAUUAACAAAGUUCUCUAUCGAUCACUCACAAUCUGGCAGCUGGAAUCAGCAAGGUGCAGAAUCAAGUCUUCCUCGCUACUGAAUAUGUAUCAUCAUGGCCCAUGCAAGUCCCUUCUCUGCCUACGGGGCCUGCCAGCCUCACAGCUGCUGGGAAAACAGAAUGGAGGUUUGCAUUAAGGCUCUUCAAGUCAUUUUUCUCCCAGACGGAGAUCUUGCAUUUUAAACACUCCUGCACACAGAGCUUGAAACUCCUUCCUGGAGUCAGUUGUCUUGGCUCACUACAGAGAACAGAGAGAAAUAUGUCACCCCUGAAAACAGCCACAACCAGUCUUCAGGAAGUCAUGGGCUGAAUGAGGCAUGUGCAGAAGCUACCAGCUUUCUCUGCUAAUGGUGAGGGGAAAUGUCUGGAAUGCUCAGCUAGUGACCCAGUAGGGUCAGAGGGAGUGGGAAUAUAGCAUGGGCCAGUUUGGUGAAUGAGCUUUUGCAUUUUUUAAGGUACUCUCAAAAUUCUUUGUGCCAUGUUUUAAAAUAAAAUGUGUUCAGCCGUUCUUCA
rnacentral:lncRNA from 12 species